AUAAACAAAACGAGCUGCAGUCUCGACUUCUCGAGCACGCACUCCAGUCAAGUGCAGCUAGUAUUGCAUCGCAGUUUUGUUGUGCUGUCGUGCAACGGUGCCACUGAUUUUCAGUAUAAAUAGUGGAGCACAUUAACCGACACAACACACAAGCUCAUCAGCAGCAGCAAGCAGCAAGCAGCAAGCAAAGCCAAAUUGAUAGUACGUAGUUAGCCAACUACACUAGCAAUCUUGCAUCAACAUCCACAUAUUGAUUCACCACCCUGGUCAUCAAACACCGAUUCACCAUGCCGUCGAUUGACGUGGCCACCGACAACGGCGAGAUGAAGCAGAGGCAGGCGGAGCGGGAGCGGGAGCUGGUCUGCGUGACGGGUGCGGGAGGCUUCAUCGGCUCCUGGGUGGUGAAGGAGCUCCUCCUCCGCGGCUACCGCGUCAGAGGAACCGCCCGAGAUCCCGCUGACCGCAAGAACGCGCACCUGCUGGCCCUGGAGGGGGCGGAGGAGAGGCUCACAAUGUGCCGCGCCGACGUCCUCGACUACGAUGGCCUCGGCGCCGCCUUCCACGGCUGCCACGGCGUCUUUCACGUCGCCUCGCCGGUCUCCAACGACCCCGUCAGUACACUGACUUUGCUCGGCUCACUUCUUCUUGCUAUUUUUCCCAAGGAAUGAACGGCCGUGUACUUACUUGCUACAUGCGUGAUGGUUGCAGGACCUCGUGCCGGUCGCCGUCGAGGGAACCAGGAACGUGAUCAGAGCGGCAGCGGACGCCGGCGUGCGGCGCGUGGUGUUCACGUCGUCCUACGGCGCCGUGCACAUGGACCCCAACCGCAGCCCCGACGCCGUGCUCGACGAGGCCUGCUGGAGCGACUACGACUUCUGCAAAAACACAGGCAACCUGUACUGCUGCGCGAAGAUGAUGGCUGAGAUCACGGCGACGGAGGAGGCAGCCAAGAGGGGGCUGGAGCUGGCGGUGGUGGUGCCGUCCAUGACCAUGGGCCCCAUGCUGCAGCAGGCGCUCAACUUCAGCAGCAGCCACGUCGCCCGCUACCUCACCGGCGCCAAGCCCACCUACCCCAACGCCGUCGCCGCCUACACCGACGUCCGCGACGUCGCCCGUGCACACGUCCUCGUCUACGAGCACCCCCGACGCGCGCGGCCGCUACCUCUGCAUCGGCGCCGUGCUGCACCGCGCCCACUUCCUCCAGCUCCUCGGCGACCUCUUCCCGCAGUACCACGUAACCGCCAAGUGCGAAGACGAUGGCAAGCCCAUGGAGAAGCCGUACAAGUUCUCGAACCGAAGGCUGAGGGAGCUGGGAUUGGAGUUCACUCCGUUGAAUGAAAGUUUAUACGAGACGGUGACGUGCUUGCAGAAAAAGGGACACCUGUCUCUGCCCGUUUCUCUCAUAGCACAGAAGCGCGCCUACUUGUAACAGGGAGUAGGGGACAAGCCCAUUUGGUAAAAGAACAUGAGCAAAACUGCUGGAAGAAAAGAAGAUAUGGGGACUUGGGAGCUUCAGCGUAGAAUUAAUUGUGUAUAUCUACAAAGCAAAGUAUGGCAUGUAAAUACUCAUUAUUAAUAAAUUCUUAUUUAAUGUGUCA